rfam:Salmo salar isolate Sally breed double haploid chromosome ssa04, whole genome shotgun sequence.
UGCAUUCACUACUGUAAGUCGCUCUGGAUAAGAGCGUCUGCUAAAUGACGUUAA